UACGGAGGGUGCAAGCGUUAUCCGGAUUCACUGGGUUUAAAGGGUGCGUAGGUGGGCAAGUAAGUCAGUGGUGAAAUCUCCGGGCUCAACCCGGAAAUGGCAUUGGAUACUAUUCGGCUAGAGGUUUGGAGGGGGGACUGGAAUUCUCGGUGUAGCAGUGAAAUGCGUAGAUAUCGAGAGGAACACCAGUGGCGAAGGCGAGUCCCUGGACAACACCUGACACUGAGGCACGAAAGCUAGGGGAGCAAACAGG
rnacentral:rRNA from 1 species